CACUGCAGUUUUUGUAGCUUCAGUAAAGCUGUCAUAACAAAUGUUCAAUACUUUAUGUGUAGUGGACUACCACGGGAAGGAUAUCUGGUCGAAGCAAGUCUUUCCGUGGAAGAAAGUAACUUGAAGAGAGGCGUCUGGUGGACAUAUUGGUAUGGUGUAAAGCAACGAACGAAAGAAAUUACAGGAUUUGCUGUAAGACACAUUCAAAUUCCCAUGGACUCAAACGUUAAAGGUAAUGCAAGCAAACCAUUUAGCUGCAGCAUGCCAACACACAUCUGUACGUGUGUGUCUUUAACAUAAACCUGCCUGUGUUCCAUCUAGAGUUGCACCUUUAUGAAGGCUUCAUUUCUCGUCAUGACCAGCAAAGAUUCUGGCAAUCUGGCCUUCACCUGCUCGGCUGGAAAUCAAAAAGUGUUGAGGUAUCAGAUGCCUGGCGGGCCUCAGCGAGGACUCUGCUGAACAGAAUCUUCCAGAAAUGGUCCCCGUCAGACAAGCAGAGCACUGAGAGCUUGUGCGACAGCUUGUUACAUUUUAUGGGGAGUCUCGGCUCCGCACAUACGAGGAUGAAUUUCCCUAGACAAUUCACAACCUCCUGUGAUCAUGACAGCCGAGCUGAUCACAGAGACUUUGGUUCAGAUUUUAAAAGGAGAGCCGAAGGAGAAACUCCCAGACAGCUGGAGGAGCACCAGCCCUCUCAUUCAGGGAAUGUCUGUGUUCAUGGUUACUAGAAAGUUAAACAUCAACCUUGGAGCGAAAGCCUUGGCUGAGCUGUGUCUCCUCGUGUCCUCAGAGAAUGCGACGGAUAAGAAAAACCUGGACUUGUUUCUCAGUUAUAUCCAAAAUCCUCAAUUUGUUGUGUUGGGUCUGAUAAACCACUGUGCGCAGAACAGAGUGUCCGAGCUCGUGCUGCUCGUUCCCCUGCUCUUCAGGCUCAGACAGCCGGGAGCACACGCAACAAAAGUGGGUCCAUCUGUGGAGGAGGAGGACUGGUCAGGAAUUGAAAGGGUCCAUUUCACAUGCUUCAGGGAGAGUAUACAGUCCCACCCUGACAAAAGAAAGACAAUGCUGAGUUUGAUCAAGACACGCUUAAAUAUGGCUAAAGAGAUGCCUCUGCUCCUGGUGAGCUGGUCAUCUCUGGUCGCAUUUGAGGAUCUUACUGAAUUUUCUGAGCUGACGGGAAUACCUGCAGAACACCUGAUCCAGAGUCUGUUGUACAGACUGCAAAGAUGUGUCCUGUCAAGGGACAACAACAGAGACGAGCAUGUGAAGGUGGACAAAUCUACUCAUCACAAUAUUUAACAUUUAAAACGCUGUUGUUUAAUCUUU
rnacentral:lncRNA from 1 species